GUUUGUUUUCCCAAACAGCCAAAGAGCUCUGCAAGGUGAAUAUGACACAUAGAUUGGCUAAAGUGUGGGUCUCAUGAGCUCCUGAAACAAAAAAUGGAACCACAUCCAAACCCCAUACCUGAAAGAAGUAGAUUCCCUACGUGUUCCAAAAUUGGGGGCAAUUGCCUGAAAAGGGGGAAAUGGAAGCUGGAGAGUGGUUGAAUCUAUCCAGAAGCCAGUUGACAAGGAAGCCUGAAAAUGUAACCUUGCAGCGCCCAGUUCCCUACAAUAUAGAGCAAGAAGCAGAGAAUGAAGAUAAAAGAAAAUCAUAAGUGACCAGCAGACUUAGAAUCACUGUUUUAAUCCCUUCAUCAAUUGUAUACAUGAUUGCUUCAAUUAUCUCCAGAUGAAGAAGACUUCUCAAAUUUCCUUACCAACAAAUGUCAUAGUCACACUCUCAUAGCCAGGAAGUUAUCUUUCUGUUAUUAAAAAAUUAUUUUAGAAGUUAUUUAUUUUUGUAUACAAUGGGUAAUUACUGUCUUGUGUAGUUUUGUCAUCAUUAUAUUUUUAAAACUGUAGGAAUACAUUUGCCAUACUUAUUUUAGUGUUGAUCUUUGAUGUUCAAAAAAAAAUUUAUUUUAAUGUUUAGAUUUUUAUGUAUUUCCCUGUUUCAAAAUUAUCUGAUAAGAAUAUAUCAUCUGUUUCCUACUUUUUCUUAAAAUUCAUGGAAGAGCAUUUUUCCUCCUCCAGCUAUAUACACCAGAACUUAAGAAUCUUCAUUCAAUGUUUUUAACAAAGUCUUAUGAAGGUAGAAGAAAAUACAAUGUUAAGGCUUUGAAAAGGAUUAAAUUUCUUUAAUAAGUUACUCAAUAAUGUAAAAGUAGAAUAAUAGUAUUUAGUCUACUUUCAAAUGGUAUACCAAGUGCCUUUUAUGUUCUGACUCAUGUUCUCUUAGGUCAUUUUUAUCUAUCAGCCACUUUUGUAGCAGCCAGCUUCAUGAAUGUGGAACUGAGAAACACCUUAUCUCAGUAUCAGCCUCUUCCUUCCUGGUACUUCUUUGAUCCUCAAUAUGGGAGUUUGAAGUAAUCUUGGUCACUCAUGCAUGUACAACCUAAGUGUGGUAAGGAGGUAAUAUAGAUCCUUGGACAAGCCUACACCAAUGGAAAGCAGUA
rnacentral:lncRNA from 1 species